rnacentral:rRNA from 1 species
UACGAAGGGGGCUAGCGUUGUUCGGAAUUACUGGGCGUAAAGCGCACGUAGGCGGAUAUUUAAGUCAGGGGUGAAAUCCCAGAGCUCAACUCUGGAACUGCCUUUGAUACUGGGUAUCUUGAGUAUGGAAGAGGUAAGUGGAAUUGCGAGUGUAGAGGUGAAAUUCGUAGAUAUUCGCAGGAACACCAGUGGCGAAGGCGGCUUACUGGGUCCAUUACUGACGCUGAGGUGCGAAAGCGUGGGGAGCAAACAGGG